rnacentral:rRNA from 1 species
AACGCGAAGAACCUUACCUGGGCUCGAAUGCAGGAGACCGGGUAGAAUAUCCUUUCCCGCAAGGGCUGCUGUAUAGGUGCUGCAUGGCUGUCGUCAGCUCGUGUCGUGAGAUGUUGGGUUAAGUCCCGCAACGAGCGCAACCCUCAUCCCUAGUUGCCAUCAGGUCAAGCUGGGCACUCUAGUGAAACCGCCCCGGAUAACGGGGAGGAAGGUGGGGAUGACGUCAAGUCCUCAUGGCCUUUAUGUCCAGGGCUACACACGUGCUACAAUGGUCGGUACAAACCGUCGCAAAACUGCAAAGUGGAGCUAAUCGGAAAAAGCCGGCCUCAGUUCGGAUUAGAGUCUGCAACUCGACUCUAUGAAGCUGGAAUCGCUAGUAAUCGCGGAUCAGAAUGCCGCGGUGAAUACGUUCCCGGGCCUUGUACACACCGAGACGAC